rnacentral:rRNA from 1 species
ACAAAGAGCAGCUAACUCGCGAGAGUACGCAAAUCUCAUAAACCGUGGCUCAGUUCAGAUCGUAGGCUGCAACUCGCCUACGUGAAGGAGGAAUCGCUAGUAAUCGCAGGUCAGCAUACUGCGGUGAAUACGUUCCCGGGCCUUGUACACACCGCCCGUCACACCAUGGAAGUUGGCCACGCCCGAAGUCGUUACUCCAACCCUCUGGGAGGAGGACGCCGAAGGUGGGGCUGAUGACUGGGGUGAAGUCGUAACAAGGUAGCCGUACCGGAAGGUGCGGCUGGAUCACCUCCUAAC